rnacentral:rRNA from 1 species
AUUGAACGCUGGCGGCAGGCUUAACACAUGCAAGUCGAGCGAGCGGCGGACGGGUGAGUAAUGUCUGGGAAACUGCCUGAUGGAGGGGGAUAACUACUGGAAACGGUAGCUAAUACCGCAUACCAUCGGAUGUGCCCAGAUGGGAUUAGCUAGUAGGUGGGGUAAAGGCUCACCUAGGCGACGAUCCCUAGCUGGUCUGAGAGGAUAACCAGCCACACGGGAAAUGAGACACGGUCCCGAAUACUAAGGGAGGCAGAAGUGGGGAAUAUUGCACAAUGGGAUCAAGCCUGAUGAAGCCAUGCCAAGUGUAUGAAGAAGGCCUGCGGGUUGUAAAGUACUUUCAGCGGGGAGGCGUGACCCGCAGAAGAAGCACCGGCUAACUCCGUGCCAGCAGCCGCGGUAAUUC